rnacentral:lncRNA from 1 species
CUCCUGCUGACUGCUGGAUCUGAUCAAGGACUGCAGGAGCCUGACUGCUGCUUGUCCUCACAUCGCUUCCCAAAGGCUCAAUUCCACCUUUGCCCAGAGAGGCCCCCUUGCAGGGCUAGAACCAAGGGUGAGGGGCCCCGACCACUGCCGCCUCCCCUCCUCCCACUUCUGCCUACAGGCUCGGGCCCCAACCCUGGCCCCAAACAUAAGAGCCAGAGCCAAAUGCUUCUAGCAUAUACCACCGUGGGUGAUUUAUUUAAGGGUCUCCAAAUAAUCACUUAAGUGUCACCAUGGCAACCUGGAGAGUUGCCAUGGAGAUCGGAGCAGGAAACGUCCCCAUGGAGACCCCUGGGAGACUCUCUAGGAAAUCAUUACCAGGUGGAUGGGGCUUGGGAAGGGGGAGCUGGACAAAGAAGGGAGCCCCACGGUUCUGUGUGCUGGCAGGCGGAGGGGGUGAAGGGGCAGAAUGGGAAAGACCAGCUUAAAAAGGCAGGAUAUACAAGCUGAGGCAGGCAGACACAGGAAACAGUGCAAAAGAGAUACAGACAUAGAAUCCAGGAUCCAAAAAGGAAGCUCUCGUUGUGGACAGGGGAAGAAACAGUACACGCACGAUGUAAUGGCUGGAGCUCAAGCAGUCUUCUGGGAGUUUAAGCAGCUCAAGCCCUGUGCAGAGGAGAAUGAAGCCCAGUGGAAGGAUCCUAUACCAUGGGGUACCAAACCAGCUGACUUACUGUCUUCAUUUAUGUGGGAAAAGAAUGCACCUUUUUUUGGCUGCAACCACUUCAGAAAACAGGCAUCACCUGGUAAAGUUAAACAUUGCAUACCCCAUGGCUCAGCAAUUCCUCGUAAAUAUAGAAGAGAUGGGCGCAUGUGCCUUGAUACCAUAGGAGUUGCAUACACCAGCAUUGCUAGCAUCA